GGGAGCUUUCAUCAAAUCUGGUGAUGAGCUCCCUUUUCUGGGAGAGAAUUCAAUUCCUUACGCUGAGGAGGGAAAUAUUUGGUGUCUCUCACACCCAAGGACAUGGGCUUUGGCACAGUUUGAUGAUACCUGAAUGAAUCCUUUAAAACAGCAGCAUUCUGUCAGAUCAGUUCCUUGUUUCUCUUUUCCUCAGGUAGAUUACUAACCCUAACCAGUUACUGGUGGUUUUUGAUUUUUCUGCAGCCAGCAGCACAGCUGACCCCUCUCAAAGAAGUUCCAAAAGGACAGAAGCACAACUCAUUCUUUUCACCUCAACUCAUGGACAGGAAAACCUUUCACAGCUCUCAUCCCAAUUUCUUACGUGGACCAAAACAGCCUUGUCUCAUCCAGCAGAUGUUCUCUUCAUCAAAGUCCCAUGGACAACUGGACAAAGCCUCUUCUUUCAGUGCUGGGUAAGCACCAAGCCAGCAGCACAGCUGACCCCCCUCAAAGAGGUUCCAAAAGGACAGAAGCACAACUCAUUCUUUUCACCCCAACUCAUGGACAGGAAAACCUUUCACAGCUCUCAUCCCAAUUUCUUAUGUGGACCAAAACAGCCUUGUCUCAUCCAGCAGAUGUUCUCUUCAUCAAAGUCCCAUGGACAACUGGACAAAGCCUCUUCUUUCAGUGCUGGGCAAACAGAGCCAGCUUACUGGGACUGGCACCUUCUGUCCCUUGACAUUUGUUACCUUUUGAGGUAAGGCAAAGAGGCCCUGUGGGAAGCCCAGUCUGCUUCAGGCCUCUUUUAAUUGAUUUUC